rnacentral:rRNA from 1 species
UAGUCCACGCUGUAAACGAUGUCGAUUUAGCGGUUGUGGUCUUGAACCGUGGCUUCUGGAGCUAACGCAUUAAAUCGAACGCCUGGGGAGUACGGCCGCAAGGUUAAAACUCAAAUGAAUUGACGGGGGCCCGCACAAGCGGUGGAGCAUGAGGUUUAAUUCGAUGCAACGCGAAGAACCUUACCUACUCUUGACAUCCAGCGAAUCCUAUAGAGAUAGAGGAGUGCCUUCG